AGACUAUGUUUCGGACACUUUCUCAGGAGCUCCUUGAACCUUUCCAAUGUCUUGAAUAGAGACUCCAGUUCUAACUGAACAAAGGACGAGAUCUCAUUCCUAAGCUU